GACUGCUUGGUUACUCCAAAGAGAAGAUGCCCCAUUCUCUCUGGAUCUGAGCCUCUUGCCUCCCUGUGUCUCAACCCUCAUCAGGAAAUAUCCAUGCUUUGUCCUAGGCUGGAGACCAAAGUUCAGGGGGACAGCCUGAGACACUUGCCUUCAGUAACCUCUCCAGCUGCAAAGUUAAUGACGUCUAGUGCGAUGCUUUUUCUAAAGCAUAAUCAGUUCCCACAGUCACAGAAUUAGAGGGAAAGAAAGGAAGAAAAAAGAAGAUAGAUGGGUUUGGCAGAAGAGAACUAUGAUCCAGUUCUUCGCCAUGGGAAAACAGCCAGCAUAAGUGCCAUUGAUUAAGAACCCACUUUGUGUUGUGAUGAGCACC